UCACAACAAAAACUAAGAGAAACACAUAAAGAAAAAUGUAGGCAAGGGGAGAGAAGUCUUAGCUCCACUUAAAGAUCAAGAAAUCUUACAACACAUAAAGAAGGUUUUAGGCAAGGAGAAAUCACAAAGUUCUUGUGAAAAUCAAGAACUCAUCUUCCAUAUCAAAACCGUUCACGAAGAUUUCCGCAACAAUGAAUGGAGGUACUCUGUAAUCUCUCUUAUAGUUAUAUUAUGUGAUUAGUCUAGAUGUUAAAGAUCUUAGGGUUCAUGUAAAAUCAAGUUUACAUAUGGUAUCAGAGCUAAUGGUUAUAAACAUCUAGCCAAUCUGAAAAGUAUAAUAGAUUUAUGAUUUAUAGAAUUAAAGUAGAUCUAUACUUAAGUAAUAAUAAAAUUAGAUCUAAAAUAAUGUUUAAGUUUCGGUAUAAAACCGAUGAGAGUUUUCGGAAAUAUUUAAUCAUAUAUUUUAUGUAUGUAUUCGAUUUCGAUCUCUGAAAUGAUAAUUAAUCAAUGCAUAAAUAUUUCUAUACAGAAAUCGUAUAGACAUUAAAUUAAGUAAUUUAUGCAUAAUUUUAUAAAACAAUAUUUUCAUAUAAAGAGCAAAUUUAGGAUAAAGAUAUCACCACAAUGACUUUAUUCUAAAAUGAUUUGCGAAAUGAAAAUUAUUGUUCAAAUAAGUAUUUGAUAUUUUGAGUAAUAAGUAGUUACCCACAGGUAGACUAUAUACACAAAAUAUGAUCAAAUAACUUAUAGAGUGUUUUGAUAUAUCACUCAUAAAAUAUCCACAGAUUACUUAAUCUGAGUAAUUCGAUACAUCACUCAUAAAUGUUUUCGAAUACUAUGAUUAUUGAUGAAAAUAUGGCUGCUACCCACAGGAGCACCAUAAUUUCUUGGCAUAAGUAUUCAAUAAAUAUAUGUGUUGAUUAUGUUUAAAAGCCUAAUUUAAACUUGUGUAUCUCAAAACUAUAAAAUUUUGAAAGAUUGUCAUAUAAAGUCUCGUCUAUUCCAGUCCUAACCGGAACCGACUUCUCAGAAUGAAAAGAGAAAGUUGAGUUCACAUAUAUAUUAAGAGUACUAUACUUGAAUUUGACACUCCGCAAUAAUGAGUCAAAUUCACUAAUGGUGUAUAGUACUGAGGACGAAAAUAAUUUCCAUAAAGCUUGGUUGAAAUUGAAUAGACUGAGAAUUACGAUCUUAAGAUGACAAUAAUUAAAAACAUUAAAACUUUCCUUAUGACAGCUGAAAUAAGCUAAAAAAAUAUCUUAAAUAUAUAAGAGACGGUUUAAGAUUGCAACCAAAUCCCUAGUUGGAAAACUUAUGGCAAAUCUUAGAACCAUAAAAGAAUAAUGACAUAAGGUCUAUGCAUGAAUAUUGCAUUGAAAUGGCCUAUCUUUCAGCUUGUCCAUAAAGGUAUUAAAGUUGUCUAUUAUGUUCAAGGAGCUUGACCUAAGUAAGUCAUAAAAGACCACCACCCAUAAUGGAUAUCAAGUAAAUGAGAAGAAAAAGGCAAAGAAAGAUGACAGAGGAAAAAGUCUGAAAUCUUUCAAAAAGAUUGCGAUAAAAGAAGAAAAUAGUUCGGAAAAAAAACGUAACCUUUUAAGUUCCAUAAAGGUUUUCGAAUCUAUUCUUAUAAUAUUUCUUCUAAAACAUGGUGGUGGAUAAUGGUUCUAAUGUACAUGUAAUUAAUUCUGUGCAUGAUUUAUUUACGAUCAAAAACCGUAAUUUCAAGUGUACACUAAGUACUUAUGGGAAUUAAAGCGAAGUGAUAGUUGAAGCUAUUGGCACUCCUCAUUAUGAAUAUUGGAUUUUGUUUGGAUUCUUUCCAAACAUUAUAUGUUCCAUAUAUUUCCCAUAAGGUUUAGUUUUAUUAAGAAAACUUGAUGACUGGGUUUUUUAAAUCAACUUAAAGAGAUGGAUGUUUUAAUUUGUUCUUGAACCCUAAUUGAUUUGAUUCAAGAAUAUUAAUUGAUGGCCGAUAUUAGGUAACACUGGCCGAUCAAUUUUUUAAAACAUAUCUAGUUUUGCACAUUAAAGGAAAAUUAAAGUAUAUAAAACAUGUACUAAUGAUCAGUAUUUCUUGUGGCAUAAAAUGUGUAUGUAUUGCAUUGGGGAUAAGAAAAUAAACACACUAAGGAAUGAGUCAAAAGAAAUGUAAAGCUUCUUGAGAUUGUACAUACAAAUAUUUGUAGACCCUUUGACGUUUUAUCUUUUGGAGAUGAAAAGUAUUCAAUUAUCUUUAUUGAUGAUUAUUCACAUUAUUGUUAUGUAUAUCUAUUGCAUGAAAGUCUCAAUUUUGGAUACAUUACAAGUAUUCAAAAUUAAAGUAGAAAAGCAUUAAGAUAUAAAAGUGAAAAUCAUAAGGUUAUUUAAAAGUAAUGAAUUUAUGGCAAGUAUGAAGAAAAUAGACAAUGUCUCAGACGUUUUGCCAAAUCUCUCCAAAAAUUAAGAAUUAUAUCAGUACACAGCCUGGUUCUCCAUGUCAUAUUGGUGUAGCUGAAAGGCAUGACCGUACUUUUAUGUAAAUGGUUUAAUUUAUGCAAAUUCACUUAUAUCAUUAUGGAUAGAUGCAUUAUGUAUUGCAGUAUAUUUUUUGAAUAAGGUUACCAACAAAGCAGUUCUCAAGACUCCUUUUGAACUGCAUAAAAGCUGCUAACCUAGUAUGAGACAUCUCAAAGUAUGACUAUGUCCAAUUAAGCAAGAAUAUAUAAUCCACAUGAAAAUAAAUUAGAUUUCAGAACGAUCAGUGGUUUUAUUAUAGGUUAUCCUGAGAAAUCUAAAGAAUAUAAGUUAAAUUGUCCAAACCAUAGUACGUGAUAAUAGAAACCAAUAAUGUCAGAUUUUAUAAGAAUGGCAGCAUUAGUGGGAGUCAUAAAGUUAAAGAAGUGGUCAUUCAAGAAAUUAGGGUAAGUAACAUGUUAUCCUAAAUUAUGAAUGGUGGAAAUUCUCAUGUUGUUGUAAGUUUAACAAUGAGUAAAACACAAUGAAUGACCAUAUACUCCAUGAUGAAAAGUUACAAAUAAUGAUUAAGUACAUGAUGUUAAAGAGGAACACACAUUAAAAAAAUCUACUCAUAUGAGUAGAUUUGCUAUUUCCAAUAGGUACUUUAUCAAGUAGAAUCUGUAGAACUGAAUAUUAAAGAUUUGGUUUCUUAUUCAGAGCCAUAAACGAUGUUAAUUCUGAUAAAUGAAUUGAAAUGGUUCCCAAAAAAAAGAUUUUGUUUUUAAAAACAGAGCAAGAGACUGUUUCAAAAUCAAUAAACUCAAAAGAUGUAAAGACAGAACCAAUGACGUUUCUGACACAUGUGAAACUAAGUAAGAGUUUGAAACUUGGAUUGUUAUGUAAGAAAUAUUAUAUAUAUGAAUGUAUAUGAAUAAAUAUUUCUUUCUCAUGAUGUGGUCUUAUGUUAAUCUAUUUCUUAUUGAGAAGGUUAACCUUAAGCAUACUUGGUAACCAAUAAAAUGGUAAAUAAUGGAGCUUAUUUCCUAAUGUUUUAACUAAAGUAUAAGCAGCAAAUGUUCUAGAAGAGAAGAGUGACUUGAAGGACAAGUCUAAUGGAAGAUGCUUAAGAGAACAAGUUCAAUGUAUGAACCUAAUGUUCUAGAACACUUCACACUUGUCUUAUCCUAAUGAAAUGAGUCACCUUAAGCAAAACAUUUGUCACUUACUCAACUUUGAUGGAUGGUUGAGAUUAAAGGAUAAACUUGCCAAGAAAGUAAGAAAAACUUGGUGAGAAAGUUAUCAAAACUUGAUGAGGAAGCUAGGUCCCUCUCCCCACCUAUAAAUAGAUGUCUUUACUCCAUCUUAAAGCAUCUCAACAAAAACUAAGAGAAACACAUAAAGAAAGGUGUACGCAAGGGGAGAGAAGUCUUAGCUCCACAAAUAUCAAGAAAUCUUUCAACACAUAAAGAAGGUUUUAGGCAAGGAGAAAUCACAAAGUUCUUGUGAAAAUCAAGAACUCAUCUUCCAUAUCAAAACCGUUCACGAAGAUUUCCGCAACAAUGAAUGGAGGUACUCCGUAAUCUAUCUAAUAGUUAUAUUAUUGAUUAGUCUAGAUGUUAAAGAUCUUAGGGUUCAUGUAAAAUCAAGUUUACAUGUUAUAGUGUUUGACAAUAAACUAAAUCUUAGGCUAGAUUUCUGUGAAAACAUAGAGAGAGAGAGAGAUAGAGAGAGAGAGAGAGAGAGAGAGA
rnacentral:lncRNA from 1 species